AAUGGAGCCUGGACCAAACAAUCCAAUGCUCAACAGCAUGAGCCUCGAUCUACACAAUUGGGACAUAAUGACACGUGUCAACCAAGUCAGCUAGCCACAGAGGAAAGUCAACAGCAGGAGAGACAACCCACUACAACACUGACAAUAGUUGGCGCUGUGGCUAGACCUUACACAGAUACUCUCACUGCCACAGAGGGAAGUCACCAGCAGGGGAUACAAUCCUUUUCAACAACCACACACAACUACCUACCAGGUUGUUCAGUUUCACAUUACGACAUGUCCAACUCCUCCAACAUUGCAGUCGGAGACAGCGGACAUCGAGGCUGUACAUCACAAGAGAGUCUCAGUAUAAGGAUCAACCAACUCAGUGACAUGUUAGU